GUACUUGCUUCGACAGUACAUAUAUUAAAAUUGGAACGAUACAGAGAAGAUUAGCAUGGCCCCUGCGCAAGGACGGUACGCAAAAUCGUGAAGCUUUCCACAUUUCU